rnacentral:misc_RNA from 1 species
GUUAUACAUAUAUAUUUUAGAUGUUGCCAAAAUAUUUGGAAUAUAUGUGGCUCUUUCCUAAUGAACAUUAACGGCCGGUGACAAUAAAGAGCAUAUGAUGAGCUACUCAUCAAAUUACCUACGCUUGAUUUCUUGGACGAAGCAGCUAACCUCUCACGUUAACCAGGGCCUUCACCACCAAGCUCUUGCUCUCUUCCGCCACAUGCAAACUUCUCUAGCUCUCUCUCUUGAUCCCUGUGUUUUCCCUCUCCUGCUUAAAUCAUGCUCUGCCAUCCACCGCCCUCAACUGGGCACCGCCGUCCACUCGCACGCUGUCAAAAUGGGUCUCCUCUCAAACCCAUUCGUUGCCUGCGCUCUCGUUAAUAUGCAUGGUAAAUGCGUGUCCCUUUUUUCAGCGCGUAAACUGUUCGACGAAAUUCCUCAGAGAAAUGUUGUUGUUUGGAAUGCGAUGAUAUCGCUUUAUACGCACUCCAAUCUUGUCCAUGAUGCUUGGCUUUUGUUUGAAUCAAUGGAUGUCAUGCCUAAUGCCUCCACUUUUAAUGCAAUAAUUGCAGGUUUGCCAGGGGUGGAGGAUGGGUCGCCUAAGGCCAUUGCUUUUUAUAGGCAAAUGAGGGAGUUGGGUUUGAAGCCAAAUUUAAUUACGCUUCUUGCUUUAUUACCUGCUUGUGUAGGAUUAGCAGCUUUGAGUUUGAUUGAAGAAAUUCAUGGGUACUCGAUAAGGAAUGGUAUUGAUCCGCAUCCCCAGCUGAGAAGUGGCUUAGUCGAUGCUUACGGGAGAUGUGGAUGUCUCAUUAAUGCAGCUAAUGUGUUUCAUAGUAUGAAGGAAAGGGAUGUGGUUGCGUGGAGCAGUUUGAUUUCAGCAUAUGCACUUCUUGGGGAAGCAAGAAGUGCUCUUCAAAUAUUUCGCCAGAUGGAAAUGGCGAACGUGUGCCCUGAUGACAUUACUUUUCUAGCAGUUUUGAAAGCUUGUAGCCAUGCAGGAUUAGCUGAUGAGGCACUGGACUACUUCAGCAGAAUGCAAGAAGAUUAUGGUCUGCAAGCAAACAGUGAUCAUUAUUCUUGUUUGGUUGAUGUUUUGAGCAGAGCUGGGAGGUUAAACGAGGCAUACAAAGUCAUACGAGAAAUGCCAGUGAAGGUGACUGCGAAAGCUUGGGGUGCCCUUCUUGGGGCUUGUCGAACUCAUGGAGAAGUGGAGUUAGCAGAGAUUGCUGGGAGAGCUUUGUUUGAGAUAGAACCUGAUAAUCCUGCCAAUUAUGUUAUAUUGGCCAGAAUUUAUGCCAGUGUAGGGAGACAUGAGGAAGCUCAGAGAAUGAGAAGAGAAAUGACAGAGAGGGGCGUGAAGGUAGCUCCUGGUAGCAGCUGGGUGGUAUAAAGACAAUAGAACUACUACGUGAUUUUCCCCAAAUUAAAGCUUCUUUGGAAAGAUAAACAGGAGCAGCACAUUGCUCUUAGCACUCGGUCAAAGCUUCCUCCUUUUAUAGCAGAUAAGAAAUGCUAGAACAAUCAGUUGAAUGAUAAGAAUUCAAAGAUGUCAAAAAUGGAAGCUAGCACUUCUUUGUGAUGUUUAGUUAUUAUGUAUAUCAACAAUUUUGAAGUCAAGUGACGGCAUAUUUAAAGGUCCAAAGGAAAGGUAAAAACAAUGGAAAAGGUAACUUGUAUUUGCACCAAUGGCAGAAAUUCAAGGUGAGGCACCAUGGGCACAUGCCUCGAAAAUCCCCUCCCCCUCUCUCAAGGCAAAUUCAACAACUAUUAUUCAAGAAGUAUUGUAUCUGUAUCUGGUAAUAAAAAAAUAUUUGAAAAAAAAAAAUCUAUGCUCGGGUCUCAAAAAAAAUUAUGAUUACUUCUCAAAUCAGCACAUAUCUCUUUCAGAUCGGUUAGAUUGGCAGUUGUAACUUUGAUUGGUAAUAGAUUACCUAUUUCAUGAUUCCACCUUUACACAUUGACAUCAAUCUAUAAGUUAUUGAUAGCCACUUGUGGUAUGUGAAAUUAUGGUAAUUUAAUGUUUCAUCUGCAGGACUUCUUAUCAAGUUGUAUUGUUCAAGACACGAGUACCAAUCAAUAAAUGAUAUGAGGAUGAUGACAAGCAAGAAAUUACCCCAUUCUUCGCGUAAGGCUUCAUGUUGUGAAGUUUGAACGAGUAAUGAUUAAAGAAUAUUCCAGCUUUGCUUCUUCCAAGUUGCUUCACUGCGGUGGUAUACAUCUUCUAAUCUUACCUUCUUUUAACUCAUUUUGUUUGUCAGUUUUAAUAGAUUGUGCCAGCUUUAUGUAUUAUGAGUUUGUUUGACUACAUUCAAGUUGUCAACUUCAUUCUCAUUCCCGUCUAAUUUCUUUUUCCCUUGAUAAGUCUGGUAAUUUUCUUGUGGUUAGGAAUUGAUUCACGUGGUUUAUUUCUGAGACACCAGCCAAUGGAAAUGCUGUAUAUAAGUUGAACUUUGUUGUCAUGAAACAUAGUCUGAUCCCCACUAGCUAGGUUUGGUUGAAGCUGUAAAGGUAAACUUUGUUGUUAUGAAACGUAGUCUUAUCCCACUAGCUAGUUUUGUUUGAACCUUUCCUAACUGGGGAAAUAAUGGCGUUCAGAACAUCAGCCUCCUGCGUAUUUUACAGCUUUUGCUUGUUCACCGUGAGGGUUUCAAGUGACACUUGAUGCAACACCUGUACCAUAGUCUUCUGUAGCUGGUAAUGGUGAGGAAUCAGAGGCUGGAAGAAAAAUAAAUGAAGGGAAAUAUAUGCUACUGUCUGCAUAUAUGAAAUAGCCAAUUGAGUGCAUCUGAAGUUAUUAGUCACCUUGUGUAUUUCUUGCUGGGAAGCAUGAAUCAUGAGGAAAGUAACAGGGGAAAAAACAUUCUAGGGCAUGCCUUUUACAAUUGAUUUUUGGGAAAAAACAUUCUAGGGCAUUCCUUUUACAAUUGAUUUGUCAAUCUCACCUUCACCUUAGCGUUUACAUCCUCUUGUUUAUUUUUAUUGUUGCUUUUGCCACGUAACACAUCAUACAGGAUGGAACCUGUCACCUUGGGUUGCAGUUUAGCAACAUUAACAUUUUGUUUUUUACUUUGAAAUCAUUGACAUUUUGUUGGCUCCAGUACUGAUUACUGAAAGGACAAGGGAAU